rnacentral:rRNA from 1 species
GAUGAACGCUAGCGGCAGGCUUAAUACAUGCAAGUCGAGGGGUAGCAAGAUUGUAGCAAUACAAUUGUUGACGACCGGCAAACGGGUGCGGAACACGUACACAACCUUCCUACAAGUGGGGAAUAGCCCAGAGAAAUUUGGAUUAAUACCCCGUAACAUAGCGAUGUGGCAUCACAUUGCUAUUAUAGCUUCGGCGCUUGUUGAUGGGUGUGCGGCUGAUUAGAUAGUUGGCGGGGUAACGGCCCACCAAGUCUACGAUCAGUAGCUGAUGUGGGAGCAUGAUCAGCCACACGGGAAAUGAGACACGGGCCCGACUCCGAAGGGAGGCAGCAGUAAGGAAUAUUGGACAAUGGACGCAAGUCUGAUCCAGCCAUGCCGCGUGAAUGAUUAAGGUCCUCUGGAUUGUAAACUUCUUUUAUAAGGGACGAAAAAAGGUCUUUCUAGAUCGUCUGACGGUACCUUAUGAAUAAGCACCGGCUAACUCCGUGCCAACAGCCGCCGUAACAC